rnacentral:rRNA from 1 species
AGCGCGGUAAUACGUAGAUGGCAAGCGUGUCCGGAUUUAUUGGGCGUAAAGCGAGCGCAGGCGGUCUUUAAGUCUGAUGUGAAAGCCCCUGGCUCAACCAGGGAGGGUCAUUGGAAACUGGAGAACUUGAGUGCAGAAGAGGAAAGUGGAAUUUCCAUGUGUAGCGGUGAAAUGCGUAGAUAUAUGGAGGAACACCAGUGGCGAAGGCGACUUUCUGGUCUGUAACUGACGCUGAGGCUCGAAAGCAUGGGGAGCAAACAGGAUUAGAUACCCUGGUAGUCCAUGCCGUAAACGAUGAGUGCUAAGUGUUGGAGGGUUUCCGCCCUUCAGUGCUGCAGCUAACGCAUUAAGCACUCCGCCUGGGGAGUACGACCGCAAGGUUGAAACUCAAAGGAAUUGACGGGGGCCCGCACAAGCGGUGGAGCAUGUGGUUUAAUUCGAAGCAACGCGAAGAACCUUACCAGGUCUUGACAUCCUUUGACCACUCUAGAGAUAGAGCUUUCCCUUCGGGGACAAAGUGACAGGUGGUGCAUGGUUGUCGUCAGCUCGUGUCGUGAGAUGUUGGGUUAAGUCCCGCAACGAGCGCAACCCUUAUUAUUAGUUGCCAGCAUUCAGUUGGGCACUCUAGUGAGACUGCCGGUGAUAAACCGGAGGAAGGUGGGGAUGACGUCAAAUCAUCAUGCCCCUUAUGACCUGGGCUACACACGUGCUACAAUGGAUGGUACAACGAGUCGCAAAACCGCGAGGUUAAGCUAAUCUCUUAAAGCCAUUCUCAGUUCGGAUUGGAGUCUGCAACUCGACUCCAUGAAGCUGGAAUCGCUAGUAAUCGUAGAUCAGCAUGCUACGGUGAAUACGUUCCCGGGUCUUGUACACACCGCCCGUCACACCACGGAAGUCGAUAACACCUGAAGCCGGUGGGCCAACCAUUUAUGGAGGCAGCCGUCGAAGGUGGGAUGGAUGACUGGGGUG